rnacentral:lncRNA from 10 species
ACAUUGCAGCCUUCUGCAAGGAUGGGGUGGUACUGUCCUUCUCACUUCUCAUUCUCUUCCAUUUUAAAAUGAUAAACCUGGGUCAGAGGAUAUUUAGGAAGAGGCAUUGUCAUUAAGUCCAAGACAAGAUGGUCAGAUUUGUUAUCCUAGUGGGUUACAAUCCAAAAUACUCUGGAGCAUGCUGAGAUUAAGGUGGUUGCCAAGGGAACAGAAAACAGCCAUGAGUAAAUAAAUCAAGACUUUAAAGGAUUUAGAUCGGGUCUAUGGCCAGUUGCAGAGUGGGCAGGAUCUUAAGACCCGAUAGGUGCAGAACCCAUCUGGACACGGAGACCAGGAAUGGAGUUCCAUGGAGGCCUGGCUGGCACUGCACCCGGGCAUGAGGACACAUCCAGUAAGAAGACCUGCCUCAAGAGGUGCACUGCGGUGACCAGUGGAGGUGACUGGUUGGAGCCUGGAAUUGGAAGCAGAUUCCAAGCUCUGGUGGACAAACUCUCCAGGCCUGGUGGGAAUCACAGCUGGGGCAGACCUCAUCCUGGCUGCCUGGCCACAGGCCCCCACUCUCUGCCACUGGUGGUAGGACGAUGCCUGUGUGGAGAGCUGGCUUCUCUGCUCCCGCCUGGUCCACCACUUGGCUAGAGUUCAGAGACAGGAAGUGAUUGGUCUAAGCUAACACAGCAAGUUGGUGGCAGACCUGGUUCUAGAGGCAAAACCUUCUUCCAGAUGUGAAUGAAACCUGCAGGCUUCAUUUUCCUUUCUGAGCAGUGCUUCUUAGCUCUUUGGAGACACGAAGCCCUUGGAAAAUCUGAUGAAGGUUACGGACCUUCCCUAGGAAAACAGAUAACUGACGUAGACUCAAAAACCCCAAGCAAUUUCAGGAGCCACUGGACUCCCUGAAUGAAACCCAUCCCUGGACUCCAGGCUAAGAACCUCAGCCCUGGGGACUUCACCUGCUGCCCUUUCCUUACCUGUCACACAUUGAGCCCCGAGUCAAGGCCACUGUACAAGUAGUGCCCCUCCCUCCCCCUGGCCAAGCCUCCUUCCCUUGUUCAGGAAUAAAGAAUUCCGAGGAGCCCUUUUUAGUCAUUCCCUUCUCCCAGACCUAACGAAUGGUGCGUCAGGUUUCUGGAGCCUCAUUUCCCUUCCCCAGACAUUGGCAGAGGUCCCUUGGGCUAGAUUUUCUCUUCUGGUUUUGUUUCUUGUUCUGCCUGACUGGCCGCUGGCUUCCACAAAGGAGCCCUUUGCUCCUGGCCUGGGCUCUGAUUUCACUGUGUGGUCUCAGGGGAAGCUGGACUGCUGUGGACGCUGGUGGGAGCUUGAGUCUGGUCUGAGUCUGCCCCAGGGAGAAAGAAUCCUGCUUCCACCAACCAAGCCCAGUCAGCGGUUCCUCCCAGCUGGCCAAGUGUUCAGCCCAGUGGGCUGGGGAGGAAGAGGAUGAGGGCCUCGCUCCUGGUGCCUGUGGCUCUGGGCAGGGUGAGAGGUCGGUGGAGGAUCUUUCUGUGUGUUCUCUGAGUAUGCAGCAGUGCAGUUGAAGGGAACAGGGCCCAGGCAGGCAGCAGGGCAAGGACUCCUCCCAUCUUCACACCUGAACCAGUCAGCCUGGAAGCUACAAGUUCUCACCUGCCUCCCCAGAAUGAACAUCAGAAAAGGCAAAACUGACCAGGGCUGGGAUGGGUUUGGGUCAGCGUGGUUGGAGGGCAGCCUGUGGAUCCCUGCACUGGAGUCUUGCUGUCUUCGAUGCAGGUUGGAUCAUACAUUGUUACCUCCUACUGUAUGCCUCACCCUGGAAUAGCAGAAUGCUCAGGGGGAGAUCCGAGAACGAGAAGGUGCUCCCAGCCCCAGGAGCUUCCAGUCUGGCUCUGAUCCUUGGCCGACCUAGAGGAAACCUCCACACACGCCCCUUUUGUGCUAAUGGUGCAGUUUGUGUCCCCCUCUGCCCAUCACUGUGCUGUGCUUGUUCCUGCCUCUGUGCCUUCCCCUAUACUGCUCGGACAUGUCCCCUUUCCUCUCCUCUACCCAGCUAAGCCCUUCUGAUCCACGGGGCCCGGCUUCCCAAACCACCCAGCCCACAUUCCUCCUUCCUGCUCCGAACAGGUCCGGUGUGAGCCCCUGCCCCCGAACUGCGUGCUGUCCCAUGGACGCUCCAGUCUCUUCCGUGUGUGUCUUGAGUCCCUAACUAGACAGUUAGCUCCCUGAGGGCAAGGGACUGUCAUUUCCUCUUGAGUCCUACCAGGGUCUAGCACAGGACUGGGCUCCUAACUCUCAGGAAACACUUGUCGGCUGACUGGUGCCUCAAGCGCUGGAGCUUGUCGGUGGCCGGUAAUGGGCAGUGCACGUGGGGAGAGGGUAUGUGAGUUAACUCAAGGGUGCCUUUUCUUGGGCUGUGGGCUGGCUCCCCUGGGUCAAAAGUGGAUGUCGGAGGCCUCAGGCUCUUACCUCCUUGGGGCAGUGGGAGCAUCAGGGACCCCCACCCCCACCCCGGCUCUGCAGGAGUGCACGGAAGUGGUCGUCCAGCCUGGAUAUUUCUACAGGUUGCUGACUCCUGCGGGAGCUGACUGAGUGGAAUAAAUGUUCUCUCAACAUCA